rnacentral:rRNA from 1 species
CCUACGGGAGGCAGCAGUGGGGAAUAUUGGACAAUGGGCGAAAGCCUGAUCCAGCAAUGCCGCGUGAGUGAUGAAGGCCUUAGGGUUGUAAAGCUCUUUUACCCGGGAUGAUAAUGACAGUACCGGGAGAAUAAGCUCCGGCUAACUCCGUGCCAGCAGCCGCGGUAAUACGGAGGGAGCUAGCGUUGUUCGGAAUUACUGGGCGUAAAGCGUACGUAGGCGGUUAUUCAAGUCAGAGGUGAAAGCCUGGAGCUCAACUCCAGAACUGCCUUUGAAACUAGGUAGCUAGAAUCUUGGAGAGGUUAGUGGAAUUCCGAGUGUAGAGGUGAAAUUCGUAGAUAUUCGGAAGAACACCAGUGGCGAAGGCGACUAACUGGACAAGUAUUGACGCUGAGGUACGAAAGCGUGGGGAGCAAACAGGAUUAGAUACCCUGGUAGUCCACGCCGUAAACGAUGAUAACUAGCUGUUCGGGCUCUACGAGCUUGAGUGGCGCAGCUAACGCAUUAAGUUAUCCGCCUGGGGAGUACGGUCGCAAGAUUAAAACUCAAAUGAAUUGACGG